rnacentral:siRNA from 1 species
AAACGCCUCUCUCUCAAUCUUCUC